GGCCAGGCAGCUGCAGUUUGGGGAAGCUGAAGGAUGUGUGUGAGCAGUCAGUCAGCAGGAGCAGCUAAAUGCUAAUGCUAACACUACACUGACCAGAGGAGGACCAGAGCAGUCUCUACAGCUACUCUUCAGACCAACCACACUUUCCAGAAUGCUACUGAUUUCCGUUUAAAAGAAGGAAGGACUGCUGAAGGACUGCUGGUCUCAAGGGCAGACAGAGUCUGGGUCAAACCUGGAGGAGGCUGGAGGAGGUCGGAGGAGGCAGAGUGGCGCACCCUUGCAGGGGUUGCUGGGAGAUGGGCUGUCUCCAAGCUAUGUGGAAUGCUGGGAAGAGCCCUCCUUUCACUGUGCUCCCCCUGUUCUCCCCCUGUAUCAGAAAAUUAUACCUCCCAUCAGGACGACUGUGGGACUCCAUCAAAAAACUGACAUCUCAAUCUUAUGAUUAAGAAAGUGUACUGUGGCUAUGGGCUUGUUUAUUAUCUGAAU
rnacentral:lncRNA from 1 species